rnacentral:rRNA from 1 species
UACAGGGUGUGCAAACGUUGCUCGGAAUUACUGGGCGUAAAGGGCUCGUAGGCGGCCAACUAAGUCAGACGUGAAAUCCCUCGGCUUAACCGGGGAACUGCGUCUGAUACUGGAUGGCUUGAGAUUGGGAGAGGGAUGCGGAAUUCCAGGUGUAGCGGUGAAAUGCGUAGAUAUCUGGAGGAACACCGGUGGCGAAGGCGGCAUCCUGGACCAACACUGACACUGAGGAGCGAAAGCCAGGGGAGCAAACGGG